rnacentral:misc_RNA from 1 species
AAGUCGUAACAAGGUUUCCGUAGGUGAACCUGCGGAAGGAUCAUUAAUGAAGUUACCUCUUCUUGGGUUUCUACUGUUGCGCUGUAUGGCUGCACGUAGGCCUGGGAGGGGUUAAUCCCACAAACCCUUGUGCACCAUGAGGGGCUUAGACCUCUCCAAUAUCAUAUAAUCUAUAGCUGAUGUCUUUUGUCUUUAUUAUUAUUAAUAAUAAACAACUUUCAACAACGGAUCUCUUGGCUCUC